GACGGUAAAGAUCAGUAUAGAGCUACCACUCCCUAUUAUCUCUUUUGGCACUCAACCGAACUACCACGACCAACGCACUCAUAUCCAUACUCCCUUUUUGCAUCCCCUCGCCAAUUGCACGAGCAGAAUGUCCGCCAGAGUAGUUCCGAUAUGACGUUUUGCAGGGGAAGCAUCAUACAUCCAUUUCCAUCUUAAUAUCAGUUGCCACUCCCACGUCAUAUACUGAACUUUCAGUCAAACAAUUCGUGUGCACAAUGGGUCCUCUGGCAACUUGUUCAUUUGUGC
rnacentral:misc_RNA from 1 species